rnacentral:rRNA from 1 species
AGCAGUAGCCGCGGGAAUACGUAGGGUGCGAGCGUUAAUCGGAAUUACUGGGCGUAAAGCGUGCGCAGGCGGUUCGUUAAGAUAGAUGUGAUAUCCCCGGGCUUAACCUGGGAACUGCAUUUGUGACUGGCGAGCUAGAGUAUGGCAGAGGGGGGUAGAAUUCCACGUGUAGCAGUGAAAUGCGUAGAGAUGUGGAGGAACACCUGUGGCGAAAGCGGCUCACUGGACCAUAACUGACGCUGAUGCACGAAAGCUAGGGGAGCAAACAGGAUUAGAGACCCCUGUAGUCCCUGUCUCUUAUAA